rnacentral:tRNA from 7 species
GGGUGCUUAGCUCAGCUGGGAGAGCGUCUGCCUUACAAGCAGAAGGUCGUAGGUUCGAUCCCUGCAGCACCCACCA